UCGAGUCACAAAUAUUGGAACACUACAUGUAUAAUAAAGACAAUCAUUUGUUUGGCUGCAUAUUUUUUUUUUCCCUUCGAAUAUUCCAACAGCCAAAAAGAUUUUGAUGGAGUAUUCGGAACAGCCCCAUCUACUGCUGGUGCACAUUUUCAAAUUAUUAAUAAAUAUAAUUUACACUGUCAAUGUUUGUUACCCCUUUCAGUUGGUGUGAAGGCCAGCACCAAAAGCCACCAGUCGGCCUCUAAACUGGUUGUGAGGUAUGUAUAGAGCUUGGACCAGCCUAGACGUUGCAGGGGGGGGGGGAGCAGCAGUGGGAAAAAGCAGUAUUUGCCUCCCUGCCCCCCACCAGUUCCACCGACAAUUAUGAGCUAAACAGAGCCACAACGACCUUGCAGAUGCAAUGGCAUUUGCGAAACAGGGAUGUGCAAAUGCUACGGACUCGACGUCAGAUGCAGGAAAUCCUGCAAAUGCACAGAAGUCGAGUGCACAAAUAGGGAGCCACAACGACCUUGCAGAUGCAAUGGCAUUUGCGAAACAGGGAUGUGCAAAUGCUACAGACUCGACGUCAGAUGCAGGAAAUCCUGCAAAUGCACAGAAGGCGAGUGCACAAAUAGGGAGAGGAGUGUUUGGAUCUACCUAGAGGUGGGGAGGGGGGAGUGAGCUCUGAAAAUAGUGGGGGGCCAAUAGUAGCCCCCCUGGCCCCCCUCCCAGCAGUUCCACCUCCAAUGAGGUAAACAGAGGGUGCACUGGCCAAGAUGGUCAAGACCUGCAAAUUCUUAUGCCUGCAGUUGGGUCUGAAGUUGGAGAAGAGCUGUGAGCUCAAGAUGAAGGUAUGUAUAGAGCUUGGACCAGCCUAGACGUUGCGGGGGGGGGGGGGGGG